rnacentral:lncRNA from 1 species
GCAUUCAAACCAAUUCAAAGAAGAUCUAGAGCUUCUAAGAAAACACCUAUCACUCUUCUCAAUACCAACACCAAUAAUUUUAAGGAAUUAGUUCAACAAUUCACUAGUUGUCCUAUAACAUCUUCCAUGUCAUCAUUUUCUAAGGGACCUAUUACCUUAAAUUUCCAACAAGGAAUCAACAAACAUGUUCAUCAUCACCAUAACACAACAACUACAACUUCAAUGUCACAACUUCCUAAGCAACAAUUUUUGCAAGAGC